AGUGUGUGUAUAUACACAACAUCAAGAGCAGGAAAAUGGACUCAUUAGGGAGGCAGGCAGUCAUUACCACUCACACUGUACUUCCAGGGAGACACCGAUUUUGAGAAGAGAAACUCAGCGCUGGGGAAGAAGGUCAUCAAGCUGUGAUUGACAGACCAGAUUCCACCGCUUCCUCAAGUUGACAUAUAACUGUCACACUGGGUAGUGUAUGACCCACAAAUAGCAAGACCAGAUAUAUAAAGAAGUGUGAAGAAUUUCCCCUUGAGCCUUUAAAGACUGAAAGAGUACCUGGUAAAUUCCAAGUCUGUCUUUGUCCCCUAGAUGUGCAG